rnacentral:piRNA from 1 species
UGAUUCACUGAGGUACCAGUGUGGCCUCU